AACGAACGCUGGCGGCAUGCCUAACACAUGCAAGUCGAACGAGACCUUCGGGUCUAGUGGCGCACGGGUGCGUAACGCGUGGGAACCUGCCCUUAGGUUCGGAAUAACUCCCCGAAAGGGGUGCUAAUACCGGAUAAUGUCUUCGGACCAAAGAUUUAUCGCCUUUGGAUGGGCCCGCGUUGGAUUAGCUAGUUGGUAGGGUAAAAGCCUACCAAGGCGACGAUCCAUAGCUGGUCUGAGAGGAUGAUCAGCCACACUGGGACUGAGACACGGCCCAGACUCCUACGGGAGGCAGCAGUGGGGAAUAUUGGACAAUGGGCGAAAGCCUGAACCAGCAAGGCCGCGUGAGUGAUUAAGGCCUUAGGGUUGUAAAGCUCUUUUACCCGGGAUGAUAAUGACAGUACCGGGAGAAUAAGCUCCGGCUAACUCCGUG
rnacentral:rRNA from 1 species